AAGGCAGAGGAGUAACCUCAUGGUCUCCAAUUUCCCAAACUUGGGAUAUUUUAUCCUGGAAAGUGGCAUAAAUUCCACACAAACAUACUGUGGUGUAAAUGCCUGAAGUAACUAGGAAAAUAAAAUUAACAUUCACACUUUUAAGGAAAAGGUACAGCAUUGAAGAGGCUUUCAGGGUAGGGCAUAACUGCAUUAUCUGAGCGUUCCCUAGGCUCCCAACCUUAGAUGCUAUCGCGCUGGGGAAACUUGGUGUGCUAGCUCUAAGGAACACCACGGAGCGUGGAGUGGAGUGGAGACACCACGGCUAGGCUCUGUAAUCAGGUGGGGCCUCGAUUGUUCUUGUGCACAAAGCUGCACUUUUUGCCACCCUAAGCCAAAGACCUGUCAUGUUUUGACAAAUGCUGUACCCUAGUGUACUUUUUGCUCAUUAUAAUAUCAUUAUAAUACCAAAACACACCUCCAUCCCAAAAGCUACCCGCCUCCAAGGUGCGACCACCCCUCACUGAGCAUGCGCUCUGAAUUUCUCGGAGCCUAUUACUUUAAACGGAAACGGGAAAACUUUACACCAAUCAUAACUAAGAUAUGCUUGACUAGAGCCACUCAAGCUCCACCUAAAAGAUAGAAAAUAAUAUAAAUUGGCCCAAGAGAGAGGGGAUGUUAGGGAAGAUACCAUCGUCAGGGGAGAUACCAUCCCAAGGACAUACAACAUCCUUAGGACCUCCUGACUCCUGGGAUCAGUCGACGGGCUGAGCCUCUCUUCCCCCCCCAUUGGGACGCCUUUGGUUUUGAGGUUUGGAAAUACUCCUACUUUCCAGUUCCUGUUGACCCAAAAAAGCAGCUGUCUGGACUUUCAGCCGGAGACCCUUCAUUGCCAGAGACCGGGCAGCUGUGGUAAAUGGUGUUACCAAAGCAGAGCUCAGUGCUGCACCCUGCUCACAGUUACCAUGCUCCUGGACAACCUUACUGUAAAUGCGAAAACAUCUUGCAGCAUCAUCUUCUACUUCAGCCUUCUGGAAGAUUGAUGCAGAGAAGCCCAGUUGGUUUUGGUACCAUAUCCACCAGUUCUGCGGGCACUUCAGAAGCAUGUGAGGCUUUGCUCAGUUCCCUGUGCUCUUUGGCUGAGCCUGAAGACAGCAGAAGACCUCAGACGCAUUAUUCCUUGGCCUCUGCAUUUGGGAAAAAAUAAAUGGAGAAUAAAACUGAUCUGAGACACUUCUGGUGUCCCCA
rnacentral:lncRNA from 1 species